AAGUUUUCGGAUGGAACCGAAAUUGACUGAGUGGCGGACGGGUGAGUAACGCGUGGGUAACCUGCCUCACACAGGGGGAUAACAGUUAGAAAUGACUGCUAAUACCGCAUAAGCGCACGGAGACGCAUGUCUCAGUGUGAAAAGCCUUAACGGUGUGAGAUGGACCCGCGUCUGAUUAGCUAGUUGGCAGGGUAACGGCCUACCAAGGCGACGAUCAGUAGGCGACCUGAGAGGGUGACCGGCCACAUUGGGACUGAGACACGGCCCAAACUCC
rnacentral:rRNA from 1 species